AGGAGGCUUACAGUCUAUGAUUCACCCUCUGCAGUGUGCAGAAAAUUUAGAUAGAAUUUUGCCAAUGAUUUCAGAAUCAUUUGUGUAACCAUUGGCUCAAAUAAAAUGUUUCUCCCCCUUCCUCAAUUGCAUAAUAAGCAAAAGAUCAAGAAGUGAAGAAAUGCAGAUAAUAUUAUUGCUGAGAGUAACGAGUCCCUGAAACAGCUUCUGAGAGACAUGAUGUUUUCUUCAUCUCAAAAGGCAAUUAAUUAGACAGUGAUAUCUGCCUGUAGUACGGUCUUAGUCUUAAAUGCAGCACCAGUUCUGUUGAGGUCUGUGCAGCAGUUGCUGGAUAGAUUGUAAUGACCUUGGCUGGACUGGAAUUUGAGUGUAUAAUCUAAACAGCUUUUCCUAUUUUUAACAUUUCUGAAGCAAUAUGUACCCACAGGAGGUUUACAUAUUAACAACAUUACACAGGAGAUGUUUCUCAACUAGUGACAUGUAACCCUUAAAUGGAGGAAUAAAAGGUGAUUGACAGUGGAACAGGGAGGAACUAUAAAUUGUUUCAUUCUAAAGCAGAAAAAUCUCAUCCUCCUCCAUCCUCCCACCGCCUCUCUCAAGGUCUCCUAGCAGAAGACACAUCUGGAACAUGCAGCAUGGUUUGGAAAGACUGGAUAAACCUCGAGACAUUGAUUGCCAAGGCUGGCCACUGUGGGGACGCCUGCAGAUGUCUGCUUUCAAUGUGAUUUUGACCUGGACCCUGGCUUGAGGAUAAUGGCAUCUCUUGUUCUUACAUGUCUACAUUUUGGAGUGAUCUGCCAUGACCAAGCCUUUUUAUGCAGGUGUAGCAGAUCAGAAACAUGUUUUGAUCAUUCACUUCCUACAGUAGUAUCAUCUGGCACUGCAAGGGUGUCUUAUACAUAUGGUUGUGAGCCCAUAAUUCUCCCAGAAGAAAUGGCUUAUUUGUGUGUGUUCCUCUCAGGAAAUCCUUCAGGAUUCCUACCCUGGAAGGAGCCAUAUAAUCAAUGGAGUGACAUGUCUGGAGCUGUUAGACAAAAUCAUGCUGGCUGUACACAGUGAAAUCUUGGACACUUUUCACAUACUGAACUUCAGAGGCUCAAACUGGGAUCUUGGAGGAUGACAGCAUAAGAUCUUGUGUAUAACUUGAGGCUUGGAGGCCAAUAGCAGGAUCUGGUGGGUGCCUCCCAAUCUCCUAUACAAAAAAAAAACCCAAAAACAAACAAACAAAAAACUAAACAUGCCAAACUUCAGAGUACAGAUAGUGAUAAAACAAGGUUCAAAGCAGGCAUAAGAUUUGGUGGAGCAGACUUCCACUCUUGCUGUCCUGCCUGUGUAGAAUGCAGUCUCAUCUGUUAUGGUCCUGCAGACAGAUUGUAGGAAAUACUUCCUUCCUCUCCUCUCAUCCACACCUCUUCUCCUCAUUGCCACAAAACCAUCACCCUAUUGCCCACAGACUUCUUUUGGCCUUGAGAAGCAUUUCAUGGACUUCCAAUGAUGAAAAACAAAUCUGUUGAUGACAGACUAGGAUUUGUUAAUAGGGCUAUGGUCUGCUGAGUGUGCAAGCCUACUUGUACACGAUGUGUUGCUUUCUUUCUGAAAAAUAGCAAAGGUAACUUAUCUGUAAUUGUAAUCACUGCAUUUCUUUUGAUAUCUGAAGAGUUGCUACAAUACAACUCUUUUCUUGCCUGUGCUUUGGAUCUUAAUCCAGUACAGGUCAGUCUAGUCCUGUGUUAUAGAUGUUCCUGAUUAGUUCUUAACUUUCAUUACUGAUCCUAUUGACAUGAGCCAUAUCUGUAAAUUAAUUUGCAUUGAAUAAAUGAAAGCAAGGAAAAGUUGGGGAAAUUAAAUCCCACCAAAAAUCAAACAGCUUGUGAAGUGUGGUGUCUAGAACAUCUUGUGUUGGCCUUGUGCAUAAAAACUUGGGAAUGCAACAGCUAUUACAUGUCAUUCAGCAAUUUCCUGUAUGAGUCAGUAAAAAAGUAUUUCUGCUCAAGAAACUGGCAGAAACCUGAGGUUUUUAAGUCAUUUGAAAGUGGAGAGGACGAUGCACUUUAAAGCUUACUUACAGAAUGUAUGAUUUCAAGUGUGCCCACAGCCCUGAACUAGCCUUUAAUGUCUGGGAAGCAUUUAGAGGUUCUUCAAUCCAGACUGCAAAGGUCGCUGAAGAGUUCUCAAGUCUUUGGCUGAAUUUUAGACUCAGCUCAGAAGGUCUGUUCUAACUCUACUUUCUGCAUUAGAAAAACUCAUUUCUCAUACAUAAAGCCAACUCUACAUUCGGUUGAAUUUUACUUUCACUUUGCAGAAAUGAGGGUAUGCCGUUUCAAGCAUCUUCAGGGGAAUUUGGGCUAAUCUGCCUAAGGCACACCAUUAAAAUUAAAUCUAAGCAGUUGUCUUCAGGACGUCCAUAUUUACUGAAGUAUAAAAAGUGGUUAUUCUGUCAAUGUCUCUUUUGUGGUAGAGAUAAUUCACGUAUACCUAAAUGCCAGGUCAUACUCGUUCUCUCAAGUGCAUGGUGAUGACCUUGUACAAGUGAGAUCAUUUUUUUCCUCCUCUUGCUCUUGGCUGUGGCUCCAAGUAUUGCCUUAGUCUGUGCAGCAGCAUCUCCUUACUGCGACCAAGGAACCCUUGAAAAUUUGUGUUCCCUUUGAAUUCACAAAAUCCUUCCUAACCUUGGAAUUCAGACUACAUGUCCACUCUGUUUCUCUCCUUAUUGUUGCUGUAGUUCAGCUAAGGAAGGCAUCAGCAGCAAUCUGAAGGAAAAAUACUUGGAAACGUUCUCGGAAUUUGUUCUAUAGUUAGUGUGGAGGCUAUGGGAGAAUGAAGCACACAGUACAGUGGAAGAUGUGAUUCCAUUUGAUCGGAAUAAACUUUAAUGAAAUCUGAGCUGCUUAUAGGAAAAAAAAGGCCACAACUCAAAUUGGAGGGCACUGGAUUUCCUUUUCCUUGUGUUAUAUUACCCUCUAGUGGUUGAGUCUUUGUGCUUCAUCUGAAGUAAGGACAAGAAGUUAAUGGGGAUUUUUGUGCAAUGUUCUUUGAUCAUCCCUGGCCUCUAAAAUCGUAACGUGUUUUAACUUAAUAAAAAAAA